ACGCACGCUGGCGGCGUGCCUAACACCUGCAAGUCGAGCGAAUGAAGUUCCUUCGGGAAUGGAUUUAGCGGCGGACGGGUGAGUAACACGUGGGCAACCUGCCUCAUAGAGGGGAAUAGCCUCCCGAAAGGGAGAUUAAUACCGCAUAAGAUUGUAGUACCGCAUGAUACAGCAAUUAAAGGAGCAAUCCGCUAUGAGAUGGGCCCGCGGCGCAUUAGCUAGUUGGUGAGGUAAUGGCUCACCAAGGCGACGAUGCGUAGCCGACCUGAGAGGGUGAUCGGCCACAUUGGGACUGAGACACGGCCCAGACUCCUACGGGAGGCAGCAGUGGGGAAUAUUGCACAAUGGGGGAAACCCUGAUGCAGCAACGCCGCGUGAGUGAUGACGGCCUUCGGGUUGUAAAGCUCUGUCUUCAGGGACGAUAAUGACGGUACCUGAGGAGGAAGCCACGGCUAACUACGUG
rnacentral:rRNA from 1 species